GACUCCAUGGCCCAACGGAUAAGGUGAUGGUCUAUGAACCCAGAGACUCUGGAUUCGAUCCCUAGUGGAGUCG
rnacentral:tRNA from 1 species